CUUUCCGGGAAAACCAAGGGGCCGAGAAAAUCACAACAAAACCAAACCUCAUGAGGGCUCCGAAGAGGCCGAUCCACACCGUAUGGACAUGGGCGCGACGCCAGCCGUCCAAAGUUCAGGCCUUUCUGGCCGUCGUUUCGGGCAUGGCGGCGCUGGUUCUGCUCUGAUUCAUCGUCCACGAUCACGACAACCUCUUUGUUGCAGCUGAGGCUGUGCACUCGAUUGGAAUCUCCGUUCUUAUCUACAAGCUCAUGAAGGAAAAGACUUGUGCUGAAGAACGUGGAGGAUUUUGAGGUGGAGCGAGAGAAGGCGACGGAGGAACAAAGAGUUGCCGGAGAGGAUGGCGGAGGACAACGAGAAGAUGGAGAGGAUGGGAGAGGACAAAGAGAAGAUGGAAAUGAGUACUGAAGGUGCAGGGCAUUUUGGGAAGGAAAAUUUGAUUCCGGAUGGAGCCUUCUCCCCGGAAUCCAAAUACUACCUUCUUCUAGGUAAUCCAAUUCCAACAAUAUCAGGAGAUGAAUUCUUGAUUUUACGUGGGGCCCGCAGAACUGUUCAUUCAGCUUAAGUUGGUAAACAGAGGAAUAAUCCGUAAUCAGAAUCGGAUUCCUUAUUCCCAUUCCGAUUACUGGUUAGUAAACAUGCUAUGAGAGAACAGCAAUGCGUCUAUGUGCAUGAGCAAUCCACCACUUGUGAAGCACAAUAAAUUUGUGUUUGGAAUUGUUUAUUGUGUGUAGUUCAAAUUCAUUAGCGGCAUCAUAAUCAUACUCGUCUUCCAUAAUCAUGUUGUGAAGAAUGAUGCACGUCAUCAUGAUGGAUCGAAGCGCCUAUUCAUCAAACAAUUUUGUAGUCCCCCUAAGAAUUGCCCAACGAGCUUGGAAGAUACCAAAAUACCGCUCCAAAUCCUUCCUACACCCCAGUCUAUACUUUCAAUCAUGUCAGGAAAACCUCGCAUCUCACUUUUCUUCAGAAGCCUUUGUGAGUCAGUUGUCGUGGGUUGCCGAAGGUACUCAUUGGUGUAGCUAAGUAGGAUUGUGGAGCAAAAACGUCAUCAGGGACUCUAGGAAGGUUGAUUUCCCAUCCUCACUAUCUCAUCCACUUGGUAUGCAGAUCCUACAAUCAUCUGCAAGGCAUUGAUAAUUUUUUGCUCAAGAAGGAGAUCCCUAACAUUAAAAGCAUCCUUAUUUUGCACAUAGUAUGGAUCAUGGUUGCAACUACCAAUCAUGAUUUUGUUGAACAAAUGUGGUUGCAUUCUAGAACGGCGUCUAAAAUGCACAUCAAUAUAGACUAUGUUCCAAGAGAUCCUUACCUCAUUGAUACUUUUAUUUAUUUAUUUAUUUUAUUGAGGUUCAAUGAACAACUGGGUUUGGAGAUUACCACCACAGCUUGCACGACACGGGUAUGUGCAGCUUUCUCCCUUCUUGCUUCAUCAUAUGUCAUUCUAUGCUCUUGAUUCUCUCGCUCUUCUAUUUCGAAUAACUCAUUUUCUUGCUCUUAGAACAAUUCAUUCUUUCCUUUUGAUUUCUAACAAUCUCCUUGAAUAAGACAUUGUAAGAACUCAAGAUUUUUACACUAUGAAGAAGGAUUCAAAGAAAGACUUUGAA